UAGGGAAUCUUCGGCAAUGGGGGGAACCCUGACCGAGCAACGCCGCGUGAGUGAAGAAGGUUUUCGGAUCGUAAAGCUCUGUUGUUAAGGAAGAACGAGUGUGAGAAUGGAAAGUUCAUGCUGUGACGGUACUUAACCAGAAAGGGACGGCUAAUUACGUGCCAGCAGCCGCGGUAAUACGUAAGGUCCGAGCGUUGUCCGGAAUCAUUGGGCGUAAAGGGUACGUAGGCGGGUAAGCAAGUUAGAAGUGAAAUCCUGUAGCUCAACUACAGUAAGCUUUUAAAACUGCUCAUCUUGAGAUAUGGAAGGGAAAGUGGAAUUCCUAGUGUAGCGGUGAAAUGCGCAGAUAUUAGGAGGAAUACCGGUGGCGAAGGCGACUUUCUGGCCAUAAUCUGACGCUGAGGUACGAAAGCGUGGGUAGCAAACAGG
rnacentral:rRNA from 1 species